GUGGGGAAUCUUGCGCAAUGGGCGAAAGCCUGACGCAGCCAUGCCGCGUGAAUGAUGAAGGUCUUAGGAUUGUAAAAUUCUUUCACCGGGGACGAUAAUGACGGUACCCGGAGAAGAAGCUCCGGCUAACUUCGUGCCAGCAGCCGCGGUAAUACGAAGGGGGCUAGCGUUGCUCGGAAUUACUGGGCGUAAAGGGCGCGUAGGCGGACAGCUUAGUCAGAGGUGAAAGCCCAGGGCUCAACCUUGGAAUUGCCUUUGAUACUGGCUGUCUUGAGUUUGGGAGAGGCGAGUGGAACUCCGAGUGUAGAGGUGAAAUUCGUAGAUAUUCGGAAGAACACCAGUGGCGAAGGCGACUCACUGGCCCAAUACUGACGCUGAGGCGCGAAAGCGUGGGGAGCAAACAGGAUUAGAUACCCCAGUAGUCC
rnacentral:rRNA from 1 species